AUGGAUAGUGUCCAAGCAAGGAACCUUGGGGAGAUGCUUCGUGGGGAGGAAGGGAAAGCAAUGCAUUGCCCAUUACACCCCCACCAUCCAUCUAUCGAUCUGCCAUGGCAUUCUCAGCUCCUCCGAAAGCCGGAGCUCUGCUGCCACCGGCGUGAGACCGUCUUCAGUUUCGAGCAAGGGGAUCAGCUACAGUACAUGGCAGCCUAUUAUCUUUCUUCGAUCUCUGUCAAAACUGGAUACCAGCCUAUUCUGAAAAAAGGAGUGCAAAAAAUGCUUAGGGAGGUUUCCAAGAGGCUAUCUCGGUAUGGGGGAGAAGAAUUAAUUGAUCUGGCAGAGUUUGGCAUUCCUGAAUUUGGAGCCUAUGCUUUAGGAAAAUUGUUAUGGAGCAGUUAUGGUCUUUCAACUGUGAGCCCACUAUUGUGUCGUUCAUUGCGCGAAGAAGCUGCUGAACUGGUUGGUUACACCGGCAUGGAUGGCAUCAACCCAACAAUAGUUUUGAAUUGCUUCUUGUACUCACUCUUCCUAACAGAGAAACAACGUGGAAAACCUAUUAGUGUUGACUAUGCUUGGGAUACUCAUGCUUGCAACUACUGGAUAUGUGAUGGCAUCCUUCAAGGGGACAAAGCCUAUGAGGUUGGCAGCGCAUUGCAUGCAGUGAUGCAAAUGUUGUGCUAUCCAUCCGACAGAAUAAAAGUAUUGGUAGACUACUUUGGUCAGCAUGGAGAACAAUAUGAACGUUGGGUUUCAAUCUCAUCCAACCAAUCAAGAGAUCAAAACAUCUCAAUUGUUCCUGUCAAUGCAUCAUCCUAUUUCCUAACAGUUGCGGGGGACAAUCAGCUACAACUACCAAAUGAUAUGUUUCAACUAGCCAUGAACCUCCACGUGCUAAAACUCCACAAGUGCAGCUUUGAUUUUGCAUCCCCUCCUUUCCGAUUCCGCCACAACCUAAGAUUCCUUUGGCUCGACCAUUGCACGAACUCAAGGGGGGAUCAAGGUGGAUGGCAAUGUUUCCCAAACCUGUUGGUGCUUGACAUACGCUUCACAGAUUUUGUCUUGCUGAUAGAGAUGACCGAGCUGAUGACCAAUCUUAGGGAGGUAAAUACAAAGGGCAUCUCAUGGAGGAAUUUAAUGUCAUCAUCAGGAAACUUGAAGAUGCUUGUUCUCGAUGGUUGUUCCAGAUUGAAGCAUGUUGCACUCGAGGGAGCCACUCCACAACUCGGGAGUUUUAGCUUUGAUGGUUAUGGAUCAUCAGUGAAAUGGACACAUGAUGUACAACUGCCAACGACAGAACUGCGUCCCAAGUCCCGCAAUGCUUCACUUCCAAAAGCAAAGCCAAGAGGGUUUGGUUCCAACAAGGCCCUUCUUACCUUACAACGAUAUUGUACUUUAGAAGGAUAUUGUCACGUGCUGGUCCUUGGUGUGGGACCACCGACAACUUUAUCCUUUAGCUUUGAAGGCUUACAAUACAUAUACUUGCACAAUUGUCCACGGCUGGUGUUUGUCCUCCCUAUUUCUUCCUUCACCUUGCCACACUUGGAGUCCAUUCAAAUUGCACACUGUAGUAAGCUCCAACAUAUAUUCCUACUGAACGACGAGUGCCCUCAAGAGAUAGCAUCUCGAGUAACAUUCAAGAAGCUGAAGCACAUCAAGCUGUACCAUCUCCACAAGCUAGAACAGAUAUGCGAGACUAGACUGAUCACCGCACCGGCCUUAGAGACGAUCAGCCUCAGGGAUUCUUGGGGCCUGAGACGGCUACUAGCCGUGUCAUGUGAAGGUCGCAAGCCGGUGGUGGACUGCGAGAAGGACUGGUGGGAUAGGCUGUAUUUGGACGGAUCCGAGGCCAGCCAUGAACCAUCACUCUUCAAGACAUGCCACUCGGCUUACUACAAGAAGACCCUCCCGAGGGUCUCCGUUCUAAGGUGUGUUUGUCACAAGAUCCAUCGGCAGCGCUGUGCGGGUGCAAGUGUAUCACGCAACACUGGGUUGCUCCAGCUUGGUGUGGUGUUCACGAUCAAGCUGGCUGGCUUGUGUUGGUUUACUUUACUUGUUUGUAAUAGCAUGGUUAUUUGUGUCCACCCGUGGGCAUGCAACCUAGCGCGCGCACGCAUGUGUGAUUGA
rnacentral:rRNA from 1 species